rnacentral:lncRNA from 1 species
GGCAAAUCCACAGGGACUACUGAAGGAUGGCAGGAGAAUUCCGGCGCUCCUCUCCACAGGACCAGCUGGCAGGAGUCCUGGUUUGCCGACCUACCACUAUGUAAUACCUAUCUUGGCAUUUGACCCGAAGUUAGGUCUCCCUUCUUUCCUUCCAUCUCCUUCCCUCCCUCCCGUCUGCUCCCUCCUCUCCUCCAUCUGUCUCUCCAUUCCUUCCUUCCUUCCUCCCGCCCUCCCUCCCUUCCUCACUCUUUUUUUCUGCACUUAACAGGUAUUAAGAAUCUACUCUGGGGGCUGGCCUGGUGGUGCAGUGGUUAAGUGCACACAUUCCGCUUCGGCGGCCCGGGGUUUGCUGGUUUGGAUCCCAGGUGCGGACAUGGCACCACUUGGCAAGCCAUGCUGUGCUGCUUCUGUGAAUUUUGCUAAUCUGAUUCUGCUGCUGAGAGAUCCAUAGAAGAACAUCCAGUGUCUGUCCUGAGAGGCAGGGCCAGAAGUGGAACAGGGUCUCUCAGCCUAAUUGCUGCUCCUGGCAGCUAGUCCAGUGCCCAGCGCUUGAGAAUCUUUGAUUGUG